AGCAGGCUUCAGGCUCUGAGCUGUCGGCACAGAGCCCGAUGUGGGGCUCGAACCCACAGACCACGAGAUCAUGACCUGAGCCAAAGUCGGACGCUCAACCGACUGAGCCACCCAGGCGUCCCUGCUAUGUGUCGUUUUUUACAGUACAGGCAGACCUCCCUUCAUGGCGCCUUGUGGAUACUGCAUUUCUUGGCAACAGCAUUUGCUUACUUCCUGUCCGCAUCACAGUUCGGUAACAAUGUUUCAGGCUUUUCGUCAUAUUUGCAUGGCUGGGAUCUCAUGAUCAAACUUGAACAGAUGAGGAGCUGCUUCUGAUGGAUGAGCAAAGACAGUGGUUUCUUGAGAUAGAAUCUGCUCCUGGUAAGGAUGCUGUGCAGACUGUCGAAAUGACAAUACAGGAUUUAGAAUAGUCCAGAAACUUACUUGAUAAAUCGGCAGGGUUUGAGAGGAUGGACUCCCAAGUCUGAAAGAAGUCCUACGGUGGGUAAGAUGCGGUCACACUGCAUCACAAGCUACAGACAAAUUGUUUGUGAGUUACGACAGAUUUCACUGUUGUCUUAAGAGGUUGCCACAGCCAACACCAUGAUCCAUGUCAAGGCAAGACCCUCCACCGACUCGCUGAAAGUUCAGAUGAUAGCAUUUUUAGCAAUAAAAGAUUUUUAAAUUAACAUAUAAUAUAUAUGUUGUUUAGACAUACUGUUGCACAUGUAACAGACUACAGUAUGGCGUAAAUAUAAUUUUUAUAUGCACUGGGAAACCAAGAAAUUCGUCUGACUCACUUUACUGUGAUAUUUGCUGUAAUGUGGCGGUCUGGAACCGAAUCGGCAAUAUCUGAGGUAUGCCUGUGUUUGCAUUUUUACAGAUUUACAAUAUUUGGAGCACUUCGUAUCACAGUCUCAUUUAGUAUUAGAUCGUGUUAGUAUUUCUGCCAUCGUAUCCUUUAGUAUUUGUAUGACGGUUGGUUUAACCUGAUAAAUGUAUGCGUGACACUGUAGCAAAGAUAAUGCUGUGUGCUCACUCAGCCUCUUCUUCCCGGACACCCAGAGAGACCACAUUUCCCAGUUUUCACUGCAGUCACAUGGGCCUGUAUUACUGAGUUCUAGACAAUGGAAUGAGGAGAGAAGGGAUGUGGGUCAUUUCUUACCUCCCUCUCAAGCUUCAAUGAGUCAUCAAGCUGUUUCUUCCCUCAUCGGCCCACCAGAUGCAAGGAACUGAUGGACACCUACAGAGACCUAGAGAAGCCUCUAGGUCAGGGAUUCUUAACCUACUUCUGGCCCAUGGACCCUUUCGGCAGACUAGCAAGUGUCACUUCCUCAAUGGAACAAAGUCUUCCCCAUGUGUGCCCCCCCCACCCCUGCUCACCCACACUGGAUUGUCACAGGAUCAGAAAAUAGUAUUUUUUUAAGCCACUGAGAUUUUGGGGCUGUUCGUAUAGCAGUGAGUAAUCUAGCACAAACUCGUGAUACUUUUAUACUUGGAGAGACUGUCCAUGUUUCCUUCUUCCCAUUAGCAAUCAUUUCCAAAACACAUCUGGUAAUUUCUGUUAGAAAGGGUUGUGGUUGUCCUAGAUAGAACCAUUGCCCUCAUUUAAAUUAGAGUUAGGAGAUGAAGCCCUUGGUUAACCCAGCCACAGUAUGGACCAAGGCACCCGAGCCUGAGUAAGCAAUGGUGCUGAGGACAAGGACUAGAAGCCUACAAAGGCAAAAACAGCACAGCCUGGUAGGAAGCGUUCUGGUGUAGAACAGUCUUGAGUCAAGUUCCAGGUUCAUCUUAGCUGGGGGCAUAAACCUUGUACAAGAUCAUUAACUUCUCUGCACUUUGGUUGCCCUGUUUGUAAGGUGAGUAUUAUUUUCAGAACUCAGCAACUAAAGUGAGGUCCCUGAUGAGAUCAGGAAAUGAAGGAAGUAAGAUUGCCCUUUCUUGCAGGUUUUGUUAAAAGUUCAACACACCGAGGCAAAGAUACAGUCCCCAGUAACAAUGGCUCCCAGGCCGGCGAGAAUGCAUAGAGCCCCGCUCCUCUCUGUGCUGAUUGUCUGAUAUUAGGCCAGUUACAGAUUCCUUGGGCGCCUCAGCUCUGUCAUCUGUAAGGUGUAUGGAUUAACAUCUCAUUAUGCACCACUGGGAAUUUAGUAACUAAUAUGCUGUAAUCCAUCUGACUAAAUGGAAGGCAGUCAUGUCAGUGAGAGGCCUGUUAGAGGAACACUAUGUAUUCCAAGCACUGUUUAGGACAGAGGCACUGUUAGCUUUGCGAUUCACACAUUUGAGAGAGAGCGUGUGCACAGGCAUGAGCUGGAGAGGGGCAGAGAGACAGGGAGGGAGGGAGAGAGAAUCCCAAGCAGGCUGACAGUGUAGAUCCUGAUGCAGGGCUCUAUCUCACGAACCAUGAGGUCGUGACCUGAGCCAAAAUGAAGAGUCAGAUGUUUGAGCUGCCCAGGUGCCCCAAGGGCCAAGCAUUUUUGCUUUAGUUUGGAGAUGGAUGCAGGGAUUAUAACAUAUAAUCUUCAGGUAUUCAGAGCCCGCUGACAUGUAAUCUGUAAGAUCCUGUCUGAUACCUUAACCAGUUUCUGUAGUGUUCCUUGUGAUUCUAAGCUAGCAAAGCCAUGUAAUUAUGUCCUGUGUAAGUAUUCCUAUACUAGUGAGAUGCUAUUGGCAUGAAGUAGACACAGAAAAAGUUGGAAUGUUGUUUCAGUGGGAUGGAAUAUACCAAACCAUGCAUUCUUUUUUUUUUAAUAUUUAUUUAUUUUUGGGCAAAUAAAUAAAUUUGCCCAAUAUAUUAUUAUAAGUGGGGGAGGGGCAGAGAGACUGACAGAACCCAAAGCAGGCUCCAGGCUCUGAACUGUCAGCACAGCCUGACCCAAGGCUCAAACCCAUGAAGCAUGAGACCGUGGCCUGAGCCAAAGUCGGAUGCUUAACCAACUGAGCCCCCCGGGUGCCCCCCAAACCAUGCAUUCUUACAUCCUAGUCCUGGAGUAGAAACUUCUUGUGAUUAAUGUUAAGUAGCAUUCUGGUGUCUCUCAGGUCCACAUUGAUUUUAGUCACUGUGAGUCAGUUUCUUAAGGCCUGGGCAUGACAUGAUGGGUCUCUACGCCCUCUAACAGGCAGCAUCCCAUACUAGUGAUCGAAUUGGGGUUCUGCCAGUGUCAACCAGACUUCCGUAUGUGACACCCUUACUGCCAGAUUAUCUUCUUACGGCUGCCUGCCUACCUUACCGGACUCGGGCAAGAACAGAACGAUGUACUAAAUGCUUUGUAAACCGUGGAAGUGUCGUACAAGUGCUAGUGUUACCACUGUGGGACCAGGUCUGGGAGUGAGAGUAAAACAGGAGCAUGGGUGCAGCUGAAAGCCAGAUGGUGAGUAUCUGUCACCAAAGGGCAACACUGCUGAGCACCCAACUUACAAGGUAUUUCUUAUGUGACAGAUGUGACUUCAUGGGAGCUUUACAGUUUGACUUCUCUUUAGCAGCGUUGAUCUUAAAAGGGGGCAUUGCGCAUGCCAUGGCUGGACGGAAUCCUGAACCCUUUAAAAAUCCCACCAACGACUCUGAAGAUCCCACCAAGAGCUCCUGUUGCCACGCAGUCGUUAUGACCAGCAAUAGUGGCCUGCACCAAGGCUCAAAGGCGAAGCCAGAUUCUUCCCUACUAAUAGGACAAUCAUGGAGUCACCGGUGUUCCGUAUGACCUCUGCAGUUGUCUGGAAUCUUGAUAUUGACCAUGAUGCCUUGAGAGAAUUGGGUUUACAAAGUGGGGUAUUGCACUGCUAUUUGCCAUCUAGCAUCUAGCGCUGAGAAAAGGCAGGAGGAAUGUAAAAAGCAUAGCUGCAGGCACAAAGAAUGAUAAUGAGAACUUGGAAUUCCUAAGCAUGUAACCUAGAAGAAAAUGUUUGCAGAAAUAAACAUGAAAUUAGGAUCCCUUAUAGCACAAAGUGCCACAAGAGUCCGUCGGUCAGGAUGGAGAAGGAAAUGGCCCCUAGGGGGCAAACAGGGGAGACAGACCUGCAGUCACAUGACCUCUUUACUAGCUUGAGUCCUUUUUUACCCAGAAUCCUUAGCUAAUCUGAGUGUAGGUAGAGAUUAGGUAUAAAAGGUAGGAUGGGGAGACUAUUUCCACUGCUAAGUCCUUCAUACAUUCAAAAAUAUACGUGAAAUGUGCCAGGCAUUGCCGGGCAUUGAAAGUAAAAGGGCAAGCAAAAGCCAACACAGUCCCUGUCCUCCCUGAGGCUUACAGUCUCACAGGGGAGGCGGGCAUUAAUCACAUCACGUGUGGCUGUGAAGGGACAAUGGUGUGCAGUGGGGAGCGGUGGUAGCUGGGAGGGCUUCGAGCAAGGAGCUAGGACAGGAACCGGUCAGGGAAGCCUAGGGAAGUGAUGACGGAAUUGAAAUCCACACGUGGGUGCUAACAAGGCCGAGUGAAAUGCCUCUUUCCGUAUUCUGUGUCAGUUGGCAUUCGCUCAACCACCUUUUGAGACAAACUUGGCAGGGAUACAUCCUCUGCAGGAAAGCUGAGCGACAGUUGCUUUUUAGAGAUUGGAGUGGGUGGGCUGACAGGUAUACGUGUGUGUUUAUGAUCUAAGGCAGCCAACGUGUUUAUCCUGUUACGGCGUCCCACGGGACAGAGGCCCCCGUUUUACUUACCAGUAAACCACAGAUCAAAUUUACAUCAUAACGCUGCACCUGGUUGAUGCGUCAGCGCUCACAACUCCAGAGUGAUUUCUGAAGCACUUUGUUACACUGGGGACAAUUCCUAAACCCUCAGACUUCUUUUUUUCCUCACCUUGGGGAUCUUGGGCUCUGCAGAUUACUCUUAACUUUGCUGGCAGGGCAACUGAAUUGAGUUUAGACUCCGUUGUAUCGCAGGCCAAUGAACAGGCCACCCCCCCCCCCCACCUCCCACACAAACUGUCAUGCUAUUUGUUUCAGAAUUGUUACUAUUAAUAUUGCUUAAAGGCGAGGGCACUUGCCAGAACCUGGAUGUCUCCUAGAAAUUUUCUGUUGCAAUAUAAUUUCAUCUAUAGUAGAGUUAUACAAUUACCAAAUCCUUUUCCCAACUGAAAUAAAUGGUAAGCUUUUUAUCCUGA